rnacentral:tRNA from 1 species
GCCCUUGUAGUUCAACGAUUAGAACAAUCGUCUGCAAAACGAUUAACACUGGUUUGACUCCAGUCGAGGGCUC